GUGUGAAGAAGGCCUUCGGGUUGUAAAGCACUUUCAGUCGUGAGGAAGGUAGUGUAGUUAAUAGCUGCAUUAUUUGACGUUAGCGACAGAAGAAGCACCGGCUAACUCCGUGCCAGCAGCCGCGGUAAUACGGAGGGUGCGAGCGUUAAUCGGAAUUACUGGGCGUAAAGCGCAUGCAGGUGGUUUGUUAAGUCAGAUGUGAAAGCCCGGGGCUCAACCUCGGAAUUGCAUUUGAAACUGGCAGACUAGAGUACUGUAGAGGGGGGUAGAAUUUCAGGUGUAGCGGUGAAAUGCGUAGAGAUCUGAAGGAAUACCGGUGGCGAAGGCGGCCCCCUGGACAGAUACUGACACUCAGAUGCGAAAGCGUGGGGAGCAAACAGGAUUAGAUACCCUGGUAGUCCACGCCGUAAACGAUGUCUACUUGGAGGUUGUGGCCUUGAGCCGUGGCUUUCGGAGCUAACGCGUUAAGUAGACCGCCUGGGGAGUACGGUCGCAAGAUUAAAACUCAAAUGAAUUGACGGGGGCCCGCACAAGCGGUGGAGCAUGUGG
rnacentral:rRNA from 1 species